rnacentral:rRNA from 1 species
CCUACGGGGGGCAGCAGUGGGGAAUAUUGCACAAUGGGCGGAAGCCUGAUGCAGCAACGCCGCGUGCGGGAUGACGGCCUUCGGGUUGUAAACCGCUUUCGCCUGUGACGAAGCGUGAGUGACGGUAAUGGGUAAAGAAGCACCGGCUAACUACGUGCCAGCAGCCGCGGUGAUACGUAGGGUGCGAGCGUUGUCCGGAUUUAUUGGGCGUAAAGGGCUCGUAGGUGGUUGAUCGCGUCGGAAGUGUAAUCUUGGGGCUUAACCCUGAGCGUGCUUUCGAUACGGGUUGACUUGAGGAAGGUAGGGGAGAAUGGAAUUCCUGGUGGAGCGGUGGAAUGCGCAGAUAUCAGGAGGAACACCAGUGGCGAAGGCGGUUCUCUGGGCCUUUCCUGACGCUGAGGAGCGAAAGCGUGGGGAGCGAACAGGCUUAGAUACCCGAGUAGUC